rnacentral:lncRNA from 1 species
UCCCUGCAAUAUUUCGCACAAGUGGGACCUUCAGAUGGUAUCCAAUAUUCAAGAAUUUAAAACUGAAGUACUCAAUGAUAAAUUAGUCUAUAUCAUAUACAAACCAUUAGCAGAUGCAACUUUUGCAUCCUACUACUACUUCACAUUUGUAAGACAACUCUUGUAAUUUUUUUUUCAUUACCUAUCAUUGCUAUAAAGAAAAUAGAUACCAAUAGUGGAGACAUUCUUUACCU